rnacentral:rRNA from 1 species
GACGAACGCUGGCGGCGUGCCUAAUACAUGCAAGUCGAACGAACCGCGACUAGGUGCUUGCACUUGGUCAAGGUGAGUGGCGAACGGGUGAGUAACACGUGGGUAACCCACCUCAUAGUGGGGGAUAACAGUCGGAAACGACUGCUAAUACCGCAUAGGACAUAGGAUCACAUGAUCCAGUGAGGAAAGGUGGCGCAAGCUAUCGCUAAGAGAUGGACCCGCGGUGCAUUAGCUAGUUGGUAGGGUAAAGGCCUACCAAGGCGAUGAUGCAUAGCCGACCUGAGAGGGUGAUCGGCCACAUUGGGACUGAGACACGGCCCAAACUCCUACGGGAGGCAGCAGUAGGGAAUCUUCCGCAAUGGACGCAAGUCUGACGGAGCAACGCCGCGUGAGUGAAGAAGGUCUUCGGAUCGUAAAGCUCUGUUGUUAGAGAAGAACAGCGCAUAGAGUAACUGUUAUGCGUGUGACGGUAUCUAACCAGAAAGCCACGGCUAACUACGUG